UUGAUAGAUAGGCCUUUACGUCCAACCAUGCCUAAGGGGUUUUAUCAUGAAACUCAACUGCUUUCUUGGGUAUUAAGUUAUGAUGGUGUGCAUCCACCAGAUGCAUUGUCAGUUACUGCUGCUGGAAUUGCUAUGGCUCUGUCACAAGUACCGAAUUCACAAGUUAUUGCUGGGGUUCGAAUUGGUCUUAUUGGUGAAAAAUUCAUCCUGAAUCCAACCAUUAAGGAAAUGGAGAACUCCAAGUUGGAUUUGUUACUAGCGGGGACCAAAG
rnacentral:misc_RNA from 1 species